UUGAUAGGGACAGUUGGGGGCGUCAGUAUUCUGAAGCGAGAGGUGAAAUUCUUGGACCUUCGGAAGACUAACAACUGCGAAAGCAUUCGCCUAGGAUGUUCUCUUUAAUCAAGAACGAAAGUUGGGGGAUCGAAGACGAUCAGAUACCGUCGUAGUCUCAACUAUAAACUAUGCCAGCUAGGGAUUGGUGGACGUUUAUCUACGACUCCAUCAGCACCUUAUGAGAAAUCAAAGCAUUUGGGUUCCGGGGGGAGUAUGGUCGCAAGGCUGAAACUUAAAGGAAUUGACGGGAGGGCACCACCAGGAGUGGAGCCUGUGGCUUAAUUUGACUCAACACGGGAAAACUUACCAGGUCCGGACAUAGUAAGGAUUGACAGAUUGAUAGCCUCUUUCU
rnacentral:rRNA from 1 species